rnacentral:rRNA from 1 species
GGGUUGUGAGGUUAAGCGACUAAGCGUACACGGUGGAUGCCCUGGCAGUCAGAGGCGAUGAAGGACGUGCUAAUCUGCGAAAAGCGCCGGCGAGGUGAUAUGAACCCUUGACCCGGCGAUGUCCGAAUGGGGAAACCCAGUGUGAUUCGUCACACUAUCGUUAACUGAAUACAUAGGUUAACGAGGCGAACCGGGGGAACUGAAACAUCUAAGUACCCCGAGGAAAAGAAAUCAACCGAGAUUCCCCCAGUAGCGGCGAGCGAACGGGGAGCAGCCCGGAGUCUGAAUCAGCUUGUGUGUUAGUGGAACGGUCUGGAAAGUCCGACGGUACAGGGUGAUAGUCCCGUACACGAAAGCACACUUGCUGUGAACUCGAAGAGUAGGGCGGGACACGUGGUAUCCUGUCUGAAUAUGGGGGGACCAUCCUCCAAGGCUAAAUACUCCUGACUGACCGAUAGUGAACCAGUACCGUGAGGGAAAGGCGAAAAGAACCCCGGCGAGGGGAGUGAAAAAGAACCUGAAACCGUGUACGUACAAGCAGUGGGAGCACCUUCGUGGUGUGACUGCGUACCUUUUGUAUAAUGGGUCAGCGACUUAUAUUCUGUAGCAAGGUUAACCGUAUAGGGGAGCCGAAGGGAAACCGAGUCUUAACUGGGCGUUAAGUUGCAGGGUAUAGACCCGAAACCCGGUGAUCUAGCCAUGGGCAGGUUGAAGGUUGGGUAACACUAACUGGAGGACCGAACCGACUAAUGUUGAAAAAUUAGCGGAUGACCUGUGGCUGGGGGUGAAAGGCCAAUCAAACCGGGAGAUAGCUGGUUCUCCCCGAAAGCUAUUUAGGUAGCGCCUCGUGAACUCAUCUUCGGGGGUAGAGCACUGUUUCGGCUAGGGGGCCAUCCCGGCUUACCAACCCGAUGCAAACUACGAAUACCGAAGAAUGUUAUCACGGGAGACACACGGCGGGUGCUAACGUCCGUCGUGAAGAGGGAAACAACCCAGACCGCCAGCUAAGGUCCCAAAGUCAUGGUUAAGUGGGAAACGAUGUGGGAAGGCACAGACAGCCAGGAUGUUGGCUUAGAAGCAGCCAUCAUUUAAAGAAAGCGUAAUAGCUCACUGGUCGAGUCGGCCUGCGCGGAAGAUGUAACGGGGCUAAACCAUGCACCGAAGCUGCGGCAGCGACACUAUGUGUUGUUGGGUAGGGGAGCGUUCUGUAAGCCGUUGAAGGUGUGCUGUGAGGCAUGCUGGAGGUAUCAGAAGUGCGAAUGCUGACAUAAGUAACGAUAAAGCGGGUGAAAAGCCCGCUCGCCGGAAGACCAAGGGUUCCUGUCCAACGUUAAUCGGGGCAGGGUGAGUCGACCCCUAAGGCGAGGCCGAAAGGCGUAGUCGAUGGGAAACAGGUUAAUAUUCCUGUACUUGGUGUUACUGCGAAGGGGGGACGGAGAAGGCUAUGUCAGCCGGGCGACGGUUGUCCCGGUUUAAGCAUGUAGGCGGAGGUUCCAGGUAAAUCCGGUACCUUAUUAACGCUGAGGUGUGAUGACGAGGCACUACGGUGCUGAAGUGAUAAAUGCCCUGCUUCCAGGAAAAGCCUCUAAGCAUCAGGUAACACGAAAUCGUACCCCAAACCGACACAGGUGGUCAGGUAGAGAAUACCAAGGCGCUUGAGAGAACUCGGGUGAAGGAACUAGGCAAAAUGGUGCCGUAACUUCGGGAGAAGGCACGCUGAUGUGUAGGUGAAGUCCCUGCGGACGGAGCUGAAAUCAGUCGAAGAUACCAGCUGGCUGCAACUGUUUAUUAAAAACACAGCACUGUGCAAACACGAAAGUGGACGUAUACGGUGUGACGCCUGCCCGGUGCCGGAAGGUUAAUUGAUGGGGUUAGCUGUAAGGCGAAGCUCUUGAUCGAAGCCCCGGUAAACGGCGGCCGUAACUAUAACGGUCCUAAGGUAGCGAAAUUCCUUGUCGGGUAAGUUCCGACCUGCACGAAUGGCGUAAUGAUGGCCAGGCUGUCUCCACCCGAGACUCAGUGAAAUUGAACUCGCUGUGAAGAUGCAGUGUACCCGCGGCAAGACGGAAAGACCCCGUGAACCUUUACUAUAGCUUGACACUGAACACUGGUCCUUGAUGUGUAGGAUAGGUGGGAGGCUUUGAAGCGUGGACGCCAGUCUGCGUGGAGCCGCCCUUGAAAUACCACCCUUUAAUGGCUGGUGUUCUAACGUAGACCCGUAAUCCGGGUUGCGGACAGUGUCUGGUGGGUAGUUUGACUGGGGCGGUCUCCUCCCAAAGAGUAACGGAGGAGCACGAAGGUUGGCUAAUCCUGGUCGGACAUCAGGAGGUUAGUGCAAUGGCAUAAGCCAGCUUGACUGCGAGCGUGACGGCGCGAGCAGGUGCGAAAGCAGGUCAUAGUGAUCCGGUGGUUCUGAAUGGAAGGGCCAUCGCUCAACGGAUAAAAGGUACUCCGGGGAUAACAGGCUGAUACCGCCCAAGAGUUCAUAUCGACGGCGGUGUUUGGCACCUCGAUGUCGGCUCAUCACAUCCUGGGGCUGAAGUAGGUCCCAAGGGUAUGGCUGUUCGCCAUUUAAAGUGGUACGCGAGCUGGGUUUAGAACGUCGUGAGACAGUUCGGUCCCUAUCUGCCGUGGGCGCUGGAGAAUUGAGGGGGGCUGCUCCUAGUACGAGAGGACCGGAGUGGACGCAUCACUGGUGUUCGGGUUGUCAUGCCAAUGGCACUGCCCGGUAGCUAAAUGCGGAAGAGAUAAGUGCUGAAAGCAUCUAAGCACGAAACUUGCCCCGAGAUGAGUUCUCCCUGAGACUUUAAGUCUCCUGAAGGAACGUUGAAGACGAUGACGUUGAUAGGUCGGGUGUGUAAGCGCAGCGAUGCGUUGAGCUAACCGAUACUAAUGAACCGUGAGGCUUAACCUUACAACGCCGAAG